rnacentral:rRNA from 1 species
GGCAAGUGGAAUUCCUGGUGUAGCGGUGAAAUGCGCAGAUAUCAGGAGGAACACCGGUGGCGAAGGCGGCUUGCUGGGCCUGUCCUGACGCUGAGGAGCGAAAGCGUGGGGAGCGAACAGGAUUAGAUACCCUGGUGGUCCACGCCGUAAACGUUGGGCGCUAGGUGUGGGGUCUUUCCACGGGCUCCGUGCCGUAGCUAACGCAUUAAGCGCCCCGCCUGGGGAGUACGGCCGCAAGGCUAAAACUCAAAGGAAUUGACGGGGGCCCGCACAAGCGGCGGAGCAUGUUGCUUAAUUCGAUGCAACGCGAAGAACCUUACCAAGGUUUGACAUCACCCGGAUCGCUCCAGAGAUGGGGUUUCCCUUCGGGGCUGGGUGACAGGUGGUGCAUGGCUGUCGUCAGCUCGAGUCGUGAGAUGUUGGGUUAAGUCCCGCAACGAGCGCAACCCUCGUUCCAUGUUGCCAGCAUGCCCUUUGGGGUGGUGGGGACUCAUGGGAGACUGCCGGGGUCAACUCGGAGGAAGGUGGGGAUGACGUCAAGUCAUCAUGCCCCUUAUGCCUUGGGCUGCAAACAUGCUACAAUGGCCGGUACAGAGGGCGGCGAUACCGUAAGGUGGAGCGAAUCCCGUAAAGCCGGCCUCAGUUCGGAUUGGGGUCUGCAACUCGACCCCAUGAAGUCGGAGUCGCUAGUAAUCGCAGAUCAGCAACGCUGCGGUGAAUACGUUCCCGGGCCUUGUACACACCG